ACUCAAAUGAAUUGACGGGGGCCCGCACAAGCGGAGGAGCAUGUGGUUUAAUUCGAUGAUACGCGAGGAACCUUACCUGGGCUCGAACGUGGAAUGACAGUCGCGGAAACGUGAUCUUCUUCGGACAUUCUACGAGGUGCUGCAUGGUUGUCGUCAGCUCGUGCCGUGAGGUGUCGGGUUAAGUCCCAUAACGAGCGCAACCCCUAUCUUUAGUUGCCAUCAGGUAAUGCUGGGGACUCUAAAGAAACUGCCUACGCAAGUAGUGAGGAAGGCGGGGAUGACGUCAAAUCAGCACGGCCCUUACGUCCAGGGCUACACACGUGCUACAAUGGCCGGUACAGAGGGCAGCUACCUGGUGACAGGAUGCAAAUCUCCAAAGCCGGUCUCAGUUCGGAUCGAAGUCUGAAACUCGACUUCGUGAAGUUGGAUUCGCUAGUAAUCGCGCAUCAGCCAUGGCGCGGUGAAUACGUUCCCGGGCCUUGCACACACCGCCCGU
rnacentral:rRNA from 1 species